UACGAGGGUCCUAGCGUUGUUCGGAAUCACUGGGCGUAAAGCGUAUGUAGGCGGACUUUUAAGUCAGGUGUGAAAUCCCAUGGCUCAACCAUGGAAUUGCAUUUGAAACUGAAAGUCUUGAGUGUGGGAGAGAUUGGUAGAAUACCUGGGUGUAGUGGUGAAAUACGUAGAUAUCAGGAGAACACCUGUGGCGAAAGCGGCUCACUGGACCACAACUGACGCUGAGGCACGAAAGCUAGGGGAGCAAACAGG
rnacentral:rRNA from 1 species